GGAAGUAAAAGUCGUAACAAGGUCUCCGUUGGUGAACCAGCGGAGGGAUCAUUACCGAGUUUACAACUCCCAAACCCAAUGUGAACGUUACCAAACUGUUGCCUCGGCGGGGUCACGCCCCGGGUGCGUAAAAGCCCCGGAACCAGGCGCCCGCCGGAGGAACCAACCAAACUCUUUCUGUAGUCCCCUCGCGGACGUAUUUCUUACAGCUCUGAGCAAAAAUUCAAAAUGAAUCAAAACUUUCAACAACGGAUCUCUUGGUUCUGGCAUCGAUGAAGAACGCAGCGAAAUGCGAUAAGUAAUGUGAAUUGCAGAAUUCAGUGAAUCAUCGAAUCUUUGAACGCACAUUGCGCCCGCCAGUAUUCUGGCGGGCAUGCCUGUCCGAGCGUCAUUUCAACCCUCGAACCCCUCCGGGGGAUCGGCGUUGGGGAUCGGGACCCCUCACCGGGUGCCGGCCCUGAAAUACAGUGGCGGUCUCGCCGCAGCCUCUCCUGCGCAGUAGUUUGCACAACUCGCACCGGGAGCGCGGCGCGUCCACGUCCGUAAAACACCCAACUUCUGAAAUGUUGACCUCGGAUCAGGUAGGAAUACCCGCUGAACUUAAGCAUAUCAAUAAGCGGAGGA
rnacentral:rRNA from 1 species